CUACCUACCCCUCUUCAUUUCGCGUCUCCAGCGCUUCAGCUUCUCUCUCAACCUCAUCUGCUCUUCUUCUUGCAAUCUCUGUGUCAAAUGUUCUCUUCCCUUCUCAAAACCUCUCUCAAGAUGGUGGGUUAUCUUUGGUUGUGAUUGAAAGGGCAAGGGAGGUGGCUGUGGAGUCUGCCUCAAGAGAGUGCAAAACAGAAAUCAAUGGCAAACCUUUUGUGGAAGAAGAUGGAGGGCUAGGGCUGCCAACCAAUGAAUGAAAUCGAGCACAAGCCUUGGAAUCUAUAUCACUUUUUCAUCAUAACCCAUUUUCUCAUUUUCAAUUUUUGAUUUUUGUGUAUGCAUAAUCUAUUAAUGUUGUUCUGAACCUUGGAUCUAACCGAUAAUCCAUUAAUGUUGGUUGAUUGA